AAUGGAUAGAGUUAAGAGUAUAACGUCAAACUUUAGUGGAUUCAGUUCUUAUAUCAACAAUCCCUUAUGUUUGUGAGAAAUGAAAACAGGCCUGCAAGAAAGAGCUGACCUCAAAGGCCUAGUCUGCUGAGGAGGCCAAGGCACAAGCCUCUGGGGAAUCAUUGACUUGCUGGGAUGAUAUCAAGGCACAGCAGGAGGAAUAAGUGCAGUUGACGGGGGUGCCGUGGCAAUCAACUCGCCGCUGUGAGGAUGGCCAG